rnacentral:rRNA from 1 species
AUUGAACGCUGGCGGCAUGCCUUACACAUGCAAGUCGAACGGUAACAGGUUAAGCUGACGAGUGGCGAACGGGUGAGUAAUGUAUCGGAACGUGCCUAGUCGUGGGGGAUAACGUAGCGAAAGCUACGCUAAUACCGCAUACGAUCCAUGGAUGAAAGCGGGGGACCUUCGGGCCUCGCGCGAUUAGAGCGGCCGAUAUCAGAUUAGGUAGUUGGUGGGGUAAAGGCCCACCAAGCCGACGAUCUGUAGCUGGUCUGAGAGGACGACCAGCCACACUGGGACUGAGACACGGCCCAGACUCCUACGGGAGGCAGCAGUGGGGAAUUUUGGACAAUGGGCGCAAGCCUGAUCCAGCAAUGCCGCGUGCAGGAUGAAGGCCUUCGGGUUGUAAACUGCUUUUGUACGGAGCGAAAAGGCUCUCUCUAAUAAAGGGGGCUCAUGACGGUACCGUAAGAAUAAGCACCGGCUAACUACGUG